rnacentral:rRNA from 1 species
CCUACGGGGGGCAGCAGUCGAGAAUCAUUCACAAUGGGGGAAACCCUGAUGGUGCGAUGCCGCGUGGGGGAAUGAAGGUCUUCGGAUUGUAAACCCCUGUCAUGUGGGAGCAAAUUAAAAAGAUAGUACCACAAGAGGAAGAGACGGCUAACUCUGUGCCAGCAGCCGCGGUAAUACAGAGGUCGCAAGCGUUGUUCGGAAUCACUGGGCGUAAAGGGUGCUUAGGCUGUUUCGUAAGUCGUGUGUGAAAGGCGCGGGCUCAACCCGCGGACGGCACUUGAUACUGCGAGACUAGAGUAAUGGAGGGGGAACCGGAAUUCUCGGUGUAGCAGUGAAAUGCGUAGAUAUCGAGAGGAACACUCGUGGCGAAGGCGGGUUCCUGGACAUUAACUGACGCUGAGGCACGAAGGCGAGGGGAGCGAAAGGGAUUAGAUACCCUUGUAGUC